CCUACGGGAGGCAGCAGUGGGGAGUAUUGCGCAAUGGCCGCAAGGCUGACGCAGCGACGCCGCGUGGGGGAUGAAGCAUUUCGGUGUGUAAACCCCUGUUGCCCGGGACGAACCUCUCCUUUCGAGGAGACUGACGGUACCGGGUGAGGAAGCACCGGCUAACUCCGUGCUAGCAGCCGCGGUAAUACGGAGGGUGCGAGCGUUGUCCGGAAUCACUGGGCGUAAAGGGCGCGUAGGCGGUGACUUAAGCGUGUGGUGAAAGCCCGGGGCUCAACCCCGGGUCGGCCGUGCGAACUGGGUCACUCGAGCACUGUAGAGGCAGGUGGAAUUCCGGGUGUAGCGGUGGAAUGCGUAGAGAUCCGGAAGAACACCAGUGGCGAAGGCGGCCUGCUGGGCAGUAGCUGACGCUGAGGCGCGACAGCGUGGGGAGCAAACAGGAUUAGAUACCCUGGUAGUCCACGCCGUAAACGAUGGGCACUAGGUGCUUGGGGGAACGACCCCCCGAGUGCCGGCGCUAACGCAUUAAGUGCCCCGCCUGGGGAGUACGGCCGCGAGGCUGAAACUCAAAGGAAUUGACGG
rnacentral:rRNA from 1 species